rnacentral:rRNA from 1 species
UGUAGUCUCGCACAGAUGCAUAUCAAUAAGCGGAGGAAAAGAAACUAACAAGGAUUCCCCUAGUAACGGCGAGUGAAGCGGGAAGAGCUCAAAUUUGAAAUCUUAAAGGGUUUCCCUUUACGAAUUGUAGUUUAAAGAAGUGUUUUCUGUUAAGGUUUUGGUAAAAGUUCUUUGGAAUAGGACAUCAUAGAGGGUGAGAAUCCCGUAUUUGACCUUUACUUUCAACUUUGUGAUACACUUUCAAAGAGUCGGAUUGUUUGGGAAUGCAGUCCAAAAUGGGUGGUAAAUUUCAUCUAAAGCUAAAUAUUGGCGAGAGACCGAUAGCGAACAAGUACCGUGAGGGAAAGAUGAAAAGAACUUUGAAAAGAGAGUUAAACAGUACGUGAAAUUGUCAAAAGGGAAGUGUUUGACACCAGUGUUGUUUUUCUGAAAAUCAAUUAAAGAACUGUUUAUGCUAAGCUGUUUAGACUUUAUCAGCUAACUGUUUAGUUUUGAGCUUUUCUUUAAUGCACUUUUCAGUUAACAAGUCAACAUCAAUUUCUUUUGCUGUAAAAAAGCUUGAGGAAGGUGGCUUGAGAUUCGUCUUAAGUGUUUAUAGCCUCUUGCCUAUGCAGUCGGAGAGAUUGAGGUCUGCAGCGUAGAUCCUUCGGGGCUAAAUGCAUUUGUGCUAAGUUAUAGCAUUUUAUAGACAACUUGUUGACUAUGAUUUGUCUUGUAGCUUACUCGCUUAUGUUAUUUUACCUACGCUUAGGAUGUUGAAGACUCUACAGAGAUA